CCUGAAAUCCCCUCAGGUGUUGCCUCGACGGGUAAUGUGACUGAGGGUGAUUUUUUGUGUGCUUGCCUUCUCUUUCCUGUGUCUUUCAAAUUGUAAUGAGAAUGUCACAGAUGCUCUCGGUGCCCGCUCAGAUCUCCCUUACCCCCCUACACCAUCCCAGCUGCUACAAGUGACGGCUAACAGCUGGCUCCUGUCACCUUCUCCCCAGACUCCUCCUCACCUGACUGGUUGGAGCCAAUCACCCACCUCAGGGCCUGUGUUUGAUUCCGAAUUCGAGCAAGACAAGGCAGUGUUCCCAGACAAGCUCCAGGGUGCCCCCUCCAACCAAUGUGGAACCAGGCAAGGACCACUCGGCUGGCUCUUCUCCAAAGCAGUUUCAAACCCAUCUCAGUCCCUAGCAACCAACCAACAAAGUAACAAACAAAUAAACGAAGCAGAACAAAGCAAAACAAAACAACCCUUGAUUAGCGGCACCACGUGGACAAAGGACAAACACCGUCGCACGACUCUCAAAGCUGUCCUGGUGUUUCUCAAACGUGACUUCCUGACCACGGUUAUCACACGCGUUUUGGACACUUGAAUUUUCUGGAAGGGGGCCCAGGAUCCACCUACUUGUCAGGCUUCCCAAGUGCAAACGAUGAACACUUCUGUCUCCCACCCAAGCUCGGUUUCCAGUUACUCACGGACUCACCAGCAAAAACAGUGUUUCCCAAUCUCCGAUGCUUAUUAGAAUCAUCUAGGACAUUUCUUUUUUUCAACAGCGUACCCAGGCAUCUCCAGACGAAUGGAAGAAAGCUAUCUGGGAAUGAAGUCCAGAAACCGGUAUUUGGAAUGCCCCAGGUGAAUCCCAUGGGCAGCCAGGAUGAUGAACUGCAGGUAGGACUUAAAGCUGAGCAGCUCUGAAAAGCAAAGACACAUCUGCGGUGGACCUCACCUCCAUUCCUUUGCUCAUAACUCCCUCGACCUGGAAUGUGGCUCUGCCUGGAUAGUGGCCGAGCCAGUGCCCCUUAAGACUUCGCUAAGAUAAUGGCACUAAUCCCCGGGAGCUCUCCCACACUCCCUCCCACAGACUGGGUUUGGGCCACUUUCUCUGGAGUCCUGUAACACCAAGGGCAUU
rnacentral:lncRNA from 1 species